rnacentral:pre_miRNA from 1 species
AGUGGAAUUGCUGGGUCACGUGGUAACUCUGUUGAACUUUUGAAGAAAUACCAGACUGUUUUCCAAAGUGGUGGCACCAUUCUAUAACCCCAGUAGCAGG